rnacentral:rRNA from 1 species
AUUGAACGCUGGCGGCAUGCCUUACACAUGCAAGUCGAACGGUAACGGGCCUUCGGGUGCCGACGAGUGGCGAACGGGUGAGUAAUGUAUCGGAACGUACCUUUCAGUGGGGGAUAACGUAGCGAAAGUUACGCUAAUACCGCAUAUUCUGUGAGCAGGAAAGCAGGGGAUCGCAAGACCUUGCGCUGAUUGAGCGGCCGAUAUCAGAAUAGCUAGUUGGUGAGGUAAAAGCUCACCAAGGCGACGAUCUGUAGCGGGUCUGAGAGGAUGAUCCGCCACACUGGAACUGAGACACGGUCCAGACUCCUACGGGAGGCAGCAGUGGGGAAUUUUGGACAAUGGGGGCAACCCUGAUCCAGCCAUGCCGCGUGAGUGAAGAAGGCCUUCGGGUUGUAAAGCUCUUUCGGCCGGGAAGAAAUCGUAUCAGCUAAUACCUGGUGCGGAUGACGGUACCGGCAUAAGAAGCACCGGCUAACUACGUGCCAGCCGCCGCGGUAAAAC